GAAAUGUGAAGAGUCAUCAGGAUUUGUCCAGUUCCCCUUAAUACACAUAAACAGAGUGGAGAAUACUAGGGAAUAACAACAUGAGAACAUGGACCGGGGAUAAGCUGCUGGAUACGGUAGAGAAAACAAUCACCAAAACAGGAAACACUACAAGAUUAGGGGAACCCAUAUUACUUAAUAGAGUCACUUUUGAAUUAGCAGAAUGUGUCACUUCAACAGGGGUCUCUAUUGAUUCCCUUCCAAUAGUCAACUGUUACAGGAACGUUGUCUCCCCAUUGAGAACUAUAAGCAACAACAUCCCAGACUCCCUCUGAGUUUCGCCCUCCUCUGCUAACUGCUGCCUGGUGAAUCCUCACAGGCCCUGAACCAGGGGGACAGUAAACUGGAGAAUGAGGUGGUGAUGGAGACUAGAAACCUGACCAUUCAGUGACCUUUUGCUAUGAGGUGGAGGAUCAUAGUAGCUAACUUUGGAGGAUGAGUUAUAUCUGCUGAGCGCCUUCUCUGAAGGGCAGAGCAUCCUUAUCUCCCAAUAACACCAGUGGGAGUUUGAGAACAUUCAGCAACUCAUAGGCUUGGGAAAGACAAAUACAAGGGCCUUGGGCGGCUAGAGUUAAGCACUGAAAUCUGCAGGUAGAAGCCUAAAUACCCAUUAUAGCCACCUGCAGAGGUCCUGAUUAGGGCAUUUAAAUCUCUAUCAGCAUUGUGGUGUUUCAAAUAGAUAUUUGAAAAACAAGGGGACUGAUGUUUAAAGGCAUCAGACAACUUGAUGCCAGGUGAGUGGGUUUUCCAACCCCGGAUACCUAAACUCAGACGCCUAACAACCACGGGUAGGUGCAUCAAUAGGGGUGGGGUUAGUUGUAAAGUCACCCUUUUGCUGCCCUAUGUUGCAGUGGAGCGGGGCAAAGUAGCCAUAAAGCUGCCCUAAGAGGCAGCUAGGAAUUCCCCAGCAUGCGCAAAUCCCUAACACCCAGAGAACCAGCAUAUAGAGUGUACAGCCAGUGUAGCUGGCUGUAUGUCACCAACUCCUAGCUUCCCACCCAAGUAUAUGGGGUAUGAGCUGGGAACAGAAGAUGGCACACACGGUGUGCAUUGUGCUAUAGCUAUCUCCAGUGCAGCAAUGGAUGUUACGAGACAGCAUAAUUUAGAACAACGCCGAGUCUAGAGCUCAGGUGUAUUUGAGGAUCUGGGCUAGUACUUGGCUGUUACUAUAGUAAUGACCCCCGAGCAACCAGUACAAUGCACAUGCUUAUCACGGAGCUUGUCCAGAGGCUGCACGUCCAUCAGAAUGACCAGAUGUCCUGCUGUGUAAUAAAAAUGCUUUGAGUAAUAAAAAUCAACACAAGCUACUUUACAGGGCCUGAUCCUUCUCUUACUUACAGCAUCUGAGCAGUAGGACAACAGCGACUACUGCCCAGUAUUAUAGUUGCCUCUGUCUUGAUCCGAUUUUGGGUAGCAGGAGCGAGGAGUGUAAAGGCCCUACUGUCAAUCAAAAGUUAACCCCAUCCCUUGACCCAAUAAGCCCUGCCCACUGGUCAUCAGAAGCCCCACCCCAUGGGGGUAUGACUUGCGGGAUCAAGGCGGACACAUGACCAGAAGCAAGGUGUGUCACGUGACCCCUCUAAGAACUCCUUCCACUAUACCAAUCAGGAUAGGUUUUGCCCUGAUAGGAACGCCCUGAGAGAAGAUUUAACCAAUCAAGAGGAGUUCUGGGGUGUGUGACCCCUCUAAGAACUCCUCCUACUGCCCUCUACCAAUCAGGAGGGGCUUCAGCCACUAGAGACCACCCUGAGGAGAUUAGACCAAGUGGGGGGAAUUCUGGGACAGGGUGACCAUCCAGAAGUGGUUCGUAUGACCCCUCUAAGAACUCCUCCCACCGCCCUCUACCAGUCGCGAUGGAUUUCGGCUGCAGAGGACUGCCCCGAAAGGAGACUUGACCAAAAUAGGGCAGGUUCUGGGAUGGUGUGACCACCCAGAAGAGGGUCGUGUGACCCCUCUAAGAACUCCUCCCAAUGCCCUCUGCCAAUCAAAGUGCAGCACCAUCACCCCAUAAGUCUCAGCGCUGGGCAGAGGAGGCCAUCUCUUACCAAGAAGACGUGUUUCAGAAAUUGUGGAAAGGCUGAGAGGAAACGUGGACUCCUUUACCACCCCCCUGAGAACUUCAGACUUUGUUUUAGCCCCACGGACCUUUGGACUUGUGUGGAGAAUUGCUACAGCAGCAACAGUUCUGAAGAGGAGAAGGGAGCAGCCAAGGGGAUUCCUUUGGCCCAGCCAUUGAUGGAUAUGCCAGAACCUGAACCUGAAGCCUAACCAUUCAUGAGACACCCCGAUGAGCAUGGUGGCCUCUCGUUGUCCGCCACCCUGGAGGAGGAAGGUGAUCAUUGCUUGGGGGAGUUACCGGCGGACAAGCUGAACAGAAAAAAUGUCACUCAGGUAAAUGAAUGAUUAAGAAGCAACAGUUGAUGAUGAGGUGUAAUGAGGUUAGGAACCUGGGGUUGUGAAAUCUAAAAAACAAGCAGUGAGAACUUACACUUGUUUCUUGUCUGAGACAGCUCGAUGAUGCCUUUCUAGAGGACCCGGAAGCCCUGGACAACGUUGCAUCAAGUAGCAAAGAUGAACCGGGCCCGCCUUGUUUUUGCUGAACGCCGCUAAAAAUUGUUGAAGAGGACUUCGAGGACGAAGGUUAUAAGGAGUUUAGAAGAAGGUUUGGCAUAGAACUCGCUGAGCCAGUGCCACAUCAUGAGCGUAAAAAUUUAUGUGGGCUGUUGUAUGCGUUGCUGUUUGUCCUGUUCUUAAUCACUGUCUUAGGGAAAAGCUUUUUGAAGAUUGUGAGGGCUGUGUCAUAGAUGCCCCAGCCCAACAGCACCAUGACCGUGUGAAUUGGACUUCAACUUUAUAUGUAAAUUUAAAUAUGUAAAUUAAAAAACCAUCUAUUGAAAGGGGCUUUGUGACUAUCUGCAUUUCUGUUAGAAGGUCUCUGGCCCUUAAGUGAGCUAAAAGUUUUAAUAGAGCCUCUUGGUUUCUUUCCAAGGAGCUGUAUGUCUUUUAAAUUAAAAAAAAAUGGUUUGUGAGAAUCUAAUUUUUGUGUUCUUGUGAAAAAAGACAUCCAUUUACAGCAAAAUGCUGAAAUGUAUGUUGUGGGAGGGGGAAAAUCCUAAAAAUGUGUUUACGGUGUAACCAUUCUGCCCAUCAGUGUUGGCAACAACAAGGACUGGGUUCAGUAUCUAGGAACUCCAUUCCAAUAACACAAUGCAAAAUUGGCUCAAGCCCCGAGCCAGUGGGGCACUGAGACUCCCCUACUACAAGCUAAAAUCACCACUUACUGCGUUAAGUUGUAGGAGGAGCUCAGUACUUGUUCACCAUUAGCCGAAAAUGAAUACCGCUCUGCAGUCUGUAACCAAACUCCUCUUGGACUCAAAAUUAGCACUAACAUUAUGCAGUAGAGGCAAUGGAAUUGGGGGAUGGGUCAGUACAUCACCAGGUACAAAUACCUGUCCCCAGUCUCUCUCAAUUUACUGAGUUUUGGAACCCAUGUCCCUUGCCUAGCGAGUGCUACUUAGUUGAAGGUGAGUCCUUCCAUCACAAAAGGCCAAGUACAGUUCCACUGUCCUUGAUUUACAUAAUCAGGAUAACACCACUUUAUUCUUCCUGCCUCAGUAACAGAGAAACUGGGGAUCCCACCAUAGCCAAAAUGACAAUUUGGGCUACUGUGGGCUCAUGACCAGCCCCUGACGUUCUUUUCCACAACUCACCACCAGAUGUCAGGGCAGAUCUCAUCCUGACUCUGCUUACAACAGUAAAACAAACAGGGAUGGUUCAGAGAGGUGUUUGAGUACAAUAGAGUUGACUCAUUCUGUUGAACUGAAUGGUUUUAACCACACCCCCACUGAAUAGGGAAGGUAAUUGUGAUUACUUACCCUUGUUGCCAUAGGGAUAAAUUUGACUGGUGUGCACCCACAGUAAGAGAGGUGGGUGGGUGAGUUCUGAUUAAUAUGAAAUGAAAUAAAACCUCAGGAAUUCACAGUUGCUAUUGGGCAGUUUGAAUAUAACCCCUGGAAUUGAUCGAGCGCUAUUGGACAGUUUAAAGGACCCAGGAGUUGGCAGAACUCUAUUGGACAGUUUAAAUAUGACCUGGGAGUUGUUUGAAUGCUAUGGGUCACUCUUUCUAACAAUUCAAAGCCAUUAAAAGUUUAAAUUAAUAUAUUUAAAAAACAAACACCCCCCCCCACACACAAGGGUCUAAGCCAAAACAACUGAAAUGUCUCAAGAGUUCACAAACCUUCACCAUGCUUUAGAACAAGCAUUUGCUCUAAAGACAGACAAUCAAACAUUUAAAAGCUCUGGGGGGCUUAUUAUGGUUGUGAUACAACAAUUUUAUUUCAAUCGCCACCCCAAACUUUAUGCAUGAAAGAAACGUUUUAAAAAACAAGCCCCAAAGAGAUAUACUGAUAUGUGGAAAAGGUCCCUACUUGGGAAUGGGGACAGUUACAUUAAGGAUUGGGGAUUUACUGUUUAAUACUGUAAGAAGGCCCUACAGAAAAGAAAAAAAUGUAGCUGAAAGCAACUCAGUUGUUCAGACAGCUUAAUUCCUCCACCCCAGCUCACAAAAGGGAAUGUUAGGAAGGGGCCUAAAGUCCUUAAAUAUCUAGUAUUUCAGAGCUGUAGCAAUCAAAUCAACCUGCUAGCUACUAUUUUGAAGUCUGUUUGAAACAAAGGGUUAGGAUGAUAUAAAAACCUCAGGUAUUUUGGAGACUAUUUGUUUUCAACAGAAACUCUCUUGAAUGGCUGCUGGACUGCGAGAGGAGUGUGAUCUGUUUAGCAUGGAACCAGUAACUUGAAAUUGCAUUUCAUCACCAGGCCAAGCUAACACCAGCAGCGUGAGAGACCCUGACAAACUCUUUCAGUACCUGUUUUGCUCCAACUACAAGGUUUCAUCCUGCGAGUUUAUCGACGAUGAAACAGCAUGAGUGUAUGGAAGGAUGCAAAAGACCGGUACUCUGUCUCUGGAAUUACCGAAGUUUUCAUGGCCUGUUUCACCACUGCUUAUGCCCGCUUAGAACUAUACAACCUGCUAGAUAGGUUGCAAGAGCGGUGCCCGUACCAUGACACUGACUUGGUGAUAUUUGUGAAAAGGGAGGGUGACUGGAAUCCCCCUCUGCGGGAUUAUUUAGGGCACCUCACAAGCAAGAUUCCACCAGAUCAACGCAUCCUCGAGUUUGUGUCGGCAGGCCCGAAAACAUACGGGUAUAAGCUGUUGGGAGGAAAGGCCUGUAUGAAAGUCAAAAGGUAUUACCCUGAACGUAGCAAACUGUGAAAAGAUCAACUUCCACAGUUUGAAAGACCUAGUCCUGGACAAUUGCACAGGCCUGUGAGAAAAUACAUCCAAAAAGAUAGAGGUGCAGCAGCCCUCUAUCAUAAGGAACAAAAACCAGUGGCAAAUAGAGACAAAACCCUUAAGAAAACACAGAAAGUCGUUUUCAAUAAGAGGGUCCUAGGGUAAGAGUUUAAAACCCUGUCCUACGGCUUUUAAAAUGGAUCCAAGGUGGAAACACCCCUUUUCUGCAAUUCUUGAGGGGCCUAGCAACUAAGGGAAAAGUUACUUUAUAAAAAAUGUGUUGGAUAAUGCCAAACAAACGUUGUCUGUUAUGCCUAAGAGUAUUGGAUAACAUGGCUAUAAAAAUCAUCGCAAGAUAUGCAUGUCUGGACUUGUUGAAACAAGUUUUGAGCAAGGCUAGAUAUGCCCAAGCAUUUAAAUUUAGUUUUUACAAAAUUCAUCACCAUCUGGUCGUUUUGCACUAAGUCGUUAGAAUACAAUUUUAAAAUCCAGUCAAAAGAUAAACCCUUGCCACGAUGAUGUAAGAAAAACACGCAAUGAUCUCUGCUGGCGACAGGGUGGGGGGUCUUGUAAUUGUCUAUUGUGAAACACAUUGUCUGUGGCAUUUUUGUUUAAAAAUGUCAUAAUGCUUUUAGGAAACAACACGCUAUUCGGGGAGGUGCCCGUAUGAGUAAAAAAACUCUCCACGGUUACACUUCGCCAGAUACAAGGUGAGCCAGUGUUCACCAGGUUGGUUACGUGGAUGCGUGUUGACCACCAAACCUAAGGAUGUCUGAGACAGCUUGCUGCCAGGGAGCCAAUCAUAAGGGGAUUCUUUUUCAUGUAAGAAGACGUUGAUGAGACACGUGAGAGCUGCACGGUGCCCAUGUUCACGUAUAGCCAAGAAGAACAUUUCUUCUCUGAUUUGUCUCUAUGACGUUAUCAAAAACCCCAUACACGAUCAUACUGACGGUGAUGGCUAAAGCCAUCCCAAAACCUAUUUCUGCUCUCAGGUUCCCAAUUUUAAUCAGGGAACAGCGAAUGGCGCAUUCCUGGUCGGGAGAUAGGUCAAAGGCAAACAAGGUGUAACUCUGUGCAAACUCCUCACGGUUGAUUAACAGAGAACGAUCUUUCAUGUGUUUACCAGCUGUCUGUACCAGAUUCAUGUAUUCUCUCAUGCAGCAUCCUGCCUUGAAGCCUGGUUGCAGAGGCUUGGUUACGGAAUAUUUCACUCACGCCAGCUCCGUACAUCCAAGAAGGGCAUAUCCCACCUGGGCUUUGUAACAGUUCCUGCAGAUGGUGGGGUUGCUGUAAUUUUUUAGGAUCGCCUUAAUGUGUUACCUUUUAGAAACCUCGCUCUCUCCGGGGACACUGGUGCACCUUGAUGAUCACCUUGCCAAAGCGAAAUAAGACAUGUCUCUUCUGAUCUGUCUUUAUUUCAAUGGUAAUGGUAUCGAUGUGGUGUUUUCUGACAGGAACGUAAUGAGGUUUAUCGUAGGUGAUGGUGAGAAACUCCUUGUUCCUUCCUUGGACAGGAACACAGCGUAACAGAGGAACAGAAAAGUCCCCCACAAACUGGUGUUCUACAAUAUCUGUGAACAGACACAAAAAGUUAAAAGCCCUGUGAGGUCUGCUGAGAAGGGGAAUUUUUGGACGCUGUGCUUGGGGCCCAAAGCUAGAAUGUUAGCUAGCUCCCCGCUGGUAGAAAACAUAGAAGUAAAAUCGGCGGAUUUAAGACUAACUUUUGUACGCACAGGGUCAUAGUUCAUGACCACCUCAGGUGGUUUGGGAUGAUGAGCCACAGUACUGUUCAUAUGAUCCAAUAAUUCGGGUAUGGACUGUAGUAAGAGGAGGCGCUAAGAUGUAAACCUUGGUAUCAGAGGCCUGGUAUGAGGCCUAAGGCCUGAACUAAA